CACCUUGGGAUGGACGCCGUGGGACCAAGACGCUCUGUGGUUGCAAGCCAGGGACACCCAGGGUCCCCAAGCCCAGCGCCUGAGCAGUGGGGAGGCACUUUCGCUCGUGGGGUGAUCCUCUGCUGCCCCGUUUGUGUUUUCCUUCCACACCACAGGUGCUCCGACCUCCCAUUUCAAGCAAUACUGGCGACUUGGUCUGGCCUGCGUGGACAGUAGGCGCUCCGUGGGCAUGAGUCAGGGACGCCCACGGUCCCCUGGACCCCACUCAUGCGCGGUGGAGAAGCACUUCCUUCCGUGUGGGGGGACCUCUUCCUCGCCGUUUGUUUUCCUGCCACAACACAAGUGCCUCGACCUCUCCAUUCAAGCUUUCCUGCUGCUUUGGGCCGGCCCCCGUGGGCCCAAGGCGCACCGUGGGUGCGAACCAGGGACACUCAG
rnacentral:lncRNA from 1 species